CCCCGUCAGGAUGAACGCUGGCGGCGUGCUUAACACAUGCAAGUCGAACGGUGAACACGGAGCUUGCUCUGUGGGAUCAGUGGCGAACGGGUGAGUAACACGUGAGCAACCUGCCCCUGACUCUGGGAUAAGCGCUGGAAACGGCGUCUAAUACUGGAUACGAGUAGCGGCCGCAUGGUCAGUUACUGGAAAGAUUUUUUGGUUGGGGAUGGGCUCGCGGCCUAUCAGCUUGUUGGUGAGGUAAUGGCUCACCAAGGCGUCGACGGGUAGCCGGCCUGAGAGGGUGACCGGCCACACUGGGACUGAGACACGGCCCAGACUCCUACGGGAGGCAGCAGUGGGGAAUAUUGCACAAUGGGCGGAAGCCUGAUGCAGCAACGCCGCGUGAGGGAUGACGGCCUUCGGGUUGUAAACCUCUUUUAGCAGGGAAGAAGCGAAAGUGACGGUACCUGCAGAAAAAGCGCCGGCUAACUACGUGCCAGCAGCCGCGGUAAUACGUAGGGCGCAAGCGUUAUCCGGAAUUAUUGGGCGUAAAGAGCUCGUAGGCGGUUUGUCGCGUCUGCUGUGAAAUCCCGAGGCUCAACCUCGGGCCUGCAGUGGGUACGGGCAGACUAGAGUGCGGUAGGGGAGAUUGGAAUUCCCUGGUGUAGCCGGUGGAAUGCGCAGGAUAUCCAGGAGGAACACCCGAUUGGCGAAGGCCAGAUUCUCUGGGCCCGUAACUA
rnacentral:rRNA from 1 species